rnacentral:rRNA from 1 species
GACGAACGCUGGCGGCGUGCUUAACACAGGAAAGUCGAACGGAAAGGCCCUGCUUUUGUGGGGUGCUCGAGUGGCGAACGGGUGAGUAACACGUGAGUAACCUGCGCUUGACUUUGGGAUAACUUCAGGAAACUGGGGCUAAUACCGGAUAGGAGCUCCUGCUGCAUGGUGGGGGUUGGAAAGUUUCGGCGGUUGGGGAUGGACUCGCGGCUUAUCAGCUUGUUGGUGGGGUAGUGGCUUACCAAGGCUUUGACGGGUAGCCGGCCUGAGAGGGUGACCGGCCACAUUGGGACUGAGAUACGGCCCAGACUCCUACGGGAGGCAGCAGUGGGGAAUAUUGCACAAUGGGCGGAAGCCUGAUGCAGCAACGCCGCGUGCGGGAUUACUGCCUUCGGGUUGUAAACCGCUUUCGCCUGUGACGAAGCGUGAGUGACGGUAAUGGGUAAAGAAGCACCGGCUAACUACGUG